ensembl:lncRNA
CCGGCCCUGCGCAUUGCGGGGAGCUCCCGCAGCGGCAGCGACGCGGCCGUGACUCAGCGCGGGCCCCGCUCACCUCUCACCACCCGCUCGGCUUUCUCACGGCUGCGCACAGUGUUAAACGCAUCUUAAAGUCCCUGCUGAGACGAGCCGGGAACUCUCCCUGUCUGUCUCCCUGUCUAUCUGCGUAUGCUUCGGAUGUGCCCUGUGGAAACUGUUUACAGUUUGGAAGACUCCAACCUUGAUUUUCCAGCUUUGAGCUCCCUCUGGAAGCGGAAAGAGCAAUUACUCCACAUUACUGUACAUAUUUUAUUGCCGUGAUAAAUCGCAGGUGUUUCAGCUGCCGCUAUUGUCUGCCUCCCUCCUGCAGCCCUCCCGCAGCCGGAGCGAAGCAGCUGCACCGGGGGCGGCUGCACGGUACGCGCAGCAGCAUCCCGAAUCGAACCGAGCCGAGCCGAGUAGAACCGACCCGAACAGAACCGGGCCAGGCAGGGCCGGGCAAGAAGGGUCGCGCCGCCGCGCAUCGCCGGGCCAAGGGUGUCCCCAGGCUGAAAAUGGGACCCUUGACCCACUGCAAGUUGUGCACUGCUCAAAACCCACCCUGGGGAGGUUCCCCCUUCACACGGCCCCUCCAGUGACGUUUAUGGCCUCUAGAACAGCCAGAGGUGACACUUAUAUUGCCAGGAGUGGAUGGAUGGUGUUCAUCCCAAAGAGCAGAAUCGUGGGACGGAAAUCACCUUUCAUCCUCACACCGCAGAACCCUCCCCCAAAAAGCAAGCAAGCAAGCAAACAAACAAAAAACCCAACAUCAAAAGCUGUCACCCCCAAGCUCUGCUGGUCCAGAUGUUGCACAAAGUUCAUGGAAAGUGUGAGCAGUCCUACUGAAAGCCCACGGAGGGGACCUUGGGAGGCAGCGCGCAGCAGAUAGAGCCAUCCGCCCAGAGCUUCGCAGCACUAUGGAAGAAAAAUCUCUAUAAAACGAAAUAGGCAAUCAACUGAAAUCUAUCCUCUUUAAAUAAACUGAUUCCUUAGUAUUUUCCCAGUGUUGCUGUAAGUUGUUGUCUGUGAUGUCCCCCAGGGCUCUUUCCUCUGCUCUCUGAUUUGGUGUAUAAAAGCAGCUCUGAAUGAUGGAUUACUGUGUCAUUGCAGCCUGCGAAGGAUUAAUUUGUUUCAUUGAUUUCUCUUUAGGCAGAUUGCCAGAAUUCUCUGCUUCCC